GCAUAUCAAUAAGCGGAGGAAAAGAAACCAACAGGGAUUGCCCUAGUAACGGCGAGUGAAGCGGCAACAGCUCAAAUUUGAAAUCUGGCCCUUGCGGUCCGAGUUGUAAUUUGUAGAGGAUGCUUUUGGUUAGGUGCCUUCCGAGUGCCCUGGAACGGGCCGCCAUAGAGGGUGAGAGCCCCGUCUGGUUGGACACCGAGCCUCUGUAAAGCUCCUUCGACGAGUCGAGUAGUUUGGGAAUGCUGCUCUAAAUGGGAGGUAUAUGUCUUCUAAAGCUAAAUAUUGGCCAGAGACCGAUAGCGCACAAGUAGAGUGAUCGAAAGAUGAAAAGCACUUUGAAAAGAGGGUUAAAAAGUACGUGAAAUUGUUGAAAGGGAAGCGCUUGUGACCAGACUUGGGCCCGGUCAAUCAUCCAGGGUUCUCCCUGGUGCACUUGGCCGGCCCAGGCCAGCAUCAGUUCGUCGCGGGGGAUAAAGACGUUGGGAAUGUGGCUCCCCCGGGAGUGUUAUAGCCCUUCGUGCAAUACCCUGCUUUGGACUGAGGUUCGCGCAUCUUGCAAGGAUGCUGGCGUAAUGGUCAUCAGCGACCCGUCUUGAAACACGGACCAAGGAGUCGUCUUCGUAUGCGAGUGUUCGGGUAUCAAACCCCUACGCGUAAUGAAAGUGAACGCAGGUGAGAGCUUCGGCGCAUCAUCGACCGAUCCUGAUGUUCUCGGAUGGAUUUGAGUAAGAGCAUACGGGGCCGGACCCGAAAGAAGGUGAACUAUGCCUGUAUAGGGUGAAGCCAGAGGAAACUCUGGUGGAGGCUCGCAGCGGUUCUGACGUGCAAAUCGAUCGUCAAAUAUGGGCAUGGGGGCGAAAGACUAAUCGAACCUUCUAGUAGCUGGUUUCC
rnacentral:rRNA from 1 species